rnacentral:rRNA from 1 species
GACGAACGCUGGCGGCGUGCCUAAUACAUGCAAGUAGAACGCUGAAGCGAGGAGCUUGCUCUUCUUGGAUGAGUUGCGAACGGGUGAGUAACGCGUAGGUAACCUGCCUUGUAGCGGGGGAUAACUAUUGGAAACGAUAGCUAAUACCGCAUAACAAUGGAUGACACAUGUCAUUUAUUUGAAAGGGGCAAUUGCUCCACUACAAGAUGGACCUGCGUUGUAUUAGCUAGUAGGUGAGGUAAUGGCUCACCUAGGCGACGAUACAUAGCCGACCUGAGAGGGUGAUCGGCCACACUGGGACUGAGACACGGCCCAGACUCCUACGGGAGGCAGCAGUAGGGAAUCUUCGGCAAUGGGGGCAACCCUGACCGAGCAACGCCGCGUGAGUGAAGAAGGGUUUCGGAUCGUAAAGCUCUGUUGUAAGUCAAGAACGGGUGUGAGAGUGGGAAGUUCACACUGUGACGGUAGCUUACCAGAAAGGGACGGCUAACUACGUG